UCGUCACACUAUCAUUAACUGAAUCCAUAGGUUAAUGAGGCGAACCGGGGGAACUGAAACAUCUAAGUACCCCGAGGAAAAGAAAUCAACCGAGAUUCCCCCAGUAGCGGCGAGCGAACGGGGAGGAGCCCAGAGCCUGAAUCAGCAUGUGUGUUAGUGGAAGCGUCUGGAAAGGCGCGCGAUACAGGGUGACAGCCCCGUACACAAAAGCGCAUGUGCUGUGAGCUCGAUGAGUAGGGCGGGACACGUGGUAUCCUGUCUGAAUAUGGGGGGACCAUCCUCCAAGGCUAAAUACUCCUGACUGACCGAUAGUGAACCAGUACCGUGAGGGAAAGGCGAAAAGAACCCCGGCGAGGGGAGUGAAAAAGAACCUGAAACCGUGUACGUACAAGCAGUGGGAGCCCCACCACCAAAGCGUUUCGCUUUGUGUGGUGCACAAAGAAGCGUAACGACAGCACUGAAUGACGGUUAACGGAGCGCAAGCGACGUUCAACAUACAAAGUCAAGCAGUGGAGCGCUUUGGGGUGGGGUGACUGCGUACCUUUUGUAUAAUGGGUCAGCGACUUAUAUUCUGUAGCAAGGUUAACCGAAUAGGGGAGCCGGAGGGAAACCGAGUCUUAA
rnacentral:rRNA from 1 species